rnacentral:rRNA from 1 species
AUGUGGUGCUCCAUGGCGUGCCCGAACUCCGCGAACCCCGGGGGGUCGGCACCGCAGUCCGCGACGCCGCUGGCGAUGGACGCCAGCGCCACGCCGUCGUCGUCGCUGCCGGCCGUCGUCCCCGCGAUGCGGCGGUGGAUGAAGUCCGGCACGGCGACGGUGGCCGCGACGCCGUGCGCGGCGAGGGCGCGCGCCAGGCGCAGCAUGGGCGUCACGUGGCCCUGCGCUGGGAACGGCACGAGCAGCACGGCCGUUGGGGUGGCUGCCUCGGCCCCCAUGCCGCCGUCGACGUCUCGCGUUUACGGAUCGGCUGUUGGAUCGUCGAUCUCCGUGGCCUCUGGGCUUAGUUAG